rnacentral:siRNA from 1 species
UCUCCUAUUGACAUUGUUGGAG